UGCAAGCGUUAUUCGGAUUCACUGGGCGUAAAGGGUGCGCAGGCGGUCGGGUGUGUCAGAUGUGAAAUCCCGAGGCUCAACCUCGGAACUGCGUCUGAAACUACUCGACUAGAGUACUGGAGAGGGUAACGGAAUUCACGGUGUAGCAGUGAAAUGCGUAGAUAUCGUGAGGAACACCUGUGGCGAAGGCGGCCCUCUGGUCCAGUACUGACACUCAAGUGCGAAAGCGUGGGGAGCAAACAGG
rnacentral:rRNA from 1 species